CAGCCGUGGAAAAGGUACCUGAGGUGGACGGGCCUAUAACUGUUGUUCAGAAGGGAGACUUGAUCCUUAAAUUCUUUCACAAUGAAGCCUGUGAAGAGAGAAUGCACAGAAAAGGAGGUCAAGGUGUUUACCCACAUUGCCUGCAAUGGCCACGUGAGCAGUUCAGUUGGAAGAUUUAGAUUAAUAAGGAAGACCAGGGGGUGAUAAUAGCAACCACUGACAGAGACCCAAGGGAAGGGAAAGGAGCAGGAUCUGCAUUCACAGCUAACCAGACUCAAGUCAAGCUACAAUGACCUGCCCUGUACCCAUCAUGGUCACAUGCCAAGGAAGGGAAUGGAAGAUAUUCAAGCCACAGAAUCUUUGGGUAAAAAAAAAAAGAAAAAGAAAAACAGGGGGAUGAAUAUUCAGAGACAGAAUGCACCAGUUUACAAUCUUAUGAGCUUGGAAAGGCCAGAAGAGCUCUUAGAUUUCCAGUAGUUGGAUUUGGGGAUUUUGUCAGUGGCUGCAGCAGCACA